UGGGGUUGUGGCUCAGUGGCAGAGCAUUUGCCUUGCAUGUAUGAGGCACUGGGUUCCAUCCUCAGCACCACAA
rnacentral:tRNA from 1 species